AGACCCGAAACCCGGUGAUCUAGCCAUGGGCAGGUUGAAGGUUGGGUAACACUAACUGGAGGACCGAACCGACUAAUGUUGAAAAAUUAGCGGAUGACCUGUGGCUGGGGGUGAAAGGCCAAUCAAACCGGGAGAUAGCUGGUUCUCCCCGAAAGCUAUUUAGGUAGCGCCUCGUGAACUCAUCUCCGGGGGUAGAGCACUGUUUCGGCUAGGGGGCCAUCCCGGCUUACCAACCCGAUGCAAACUGCGAAUACCGGAGAAUGUUAUCACGGGAGACACACGGCGGGUGCUAACGUCCGUCGUGAAGAGGGAAACAACCCAGACCGCCAGCUAAGGUCCCAAAGUCAUGGUUAAGUGGGAAACGAUGUGGGAAGGCCCAGACAGCCAGGAUGUUGGCUUAGAAGCAGCCAUCAUUUAAAG
rnacentral:rRNA from 1 species